AAGGGGGGCGGCGGGGGGUCCCGGUCGUCCAACAGCAGUGGAUCAGAAAAGGACCACAUUGAUUUGCAUGAAGCUAAGGCCCUCAAGGCAAAAUGUAAAUCAAAACAAAAAGGUAUGAAAUCGAAAGGAACAGAGAAGUUAAAUGAUGGCCAAAAAAGGAACUACCACCAAUCUUCGUGGAUGUGACACGUGCCUCAGAAAAUACGCACAAGAGAGCAAGGCCAAAAACCCAGAACUGUUGAGGUCAACAAAAUUAAGGAAGCAUGUUGCUACCUUAUGUCAGCUUCUCGACCUGAACAAUCAGGAACUCGAGCAAGUUGCUCGUUUUAUGGGACACGACAUUAGAGUCCAUUGUGAGUUUUAUCGGCAGACCGAUAAAACUUUCCAAGUGGCCAAGAUUGCCAAACUACUGUUUGCGAUGGAACGUGGGACAGAGUCGCUGAAGGGAAAGAGUCUGCAAACCCUGGACUCUGUUAUCACUGGAAGAGCACAUGCAGCCACCUCAACCAAAGGUCUGAAAAGUGGCAAAAAGAGAAGACCAGAUCCAGGGAGACGACAGGAAGCUCAAGAUGAAUGAGAAGUGCCACAUUCAGCUGUAGCAACGAGAUCUGAUGAUGAAGAUGAUGGAGGCGGUAACAGUACCAACUUGGACACUGAAAACACAGGCACCUACAAAAGGCCACCGAAGAUGCAGUCAAUUAAAGAAAGAAAUUAUGCUGAUGACGCUGAUGACGACAUGAGUGAUGUUUCUGGCAGUGAAUAUGGCGAUGGAGGGGUGUGCCAUAAGACAGUUAAGAAGACUGUCAAGAAAAAAAAGACAAUGUUGGGAAGACAUGGAUUGGUCUAUGACGCAUCUUUCACACAUGGCCAAGAACAACCAUCAACAUCAGGGAGCGCCACCAAACGAAAGAGGAUUGCAACACUUACACAUGACGACGAUGAUGUUGAAGACAGCGAUGAAGAGGACAAAAAGACUGGACACAGAUCUCUUGGGAAGAAGAAGACAGCAGUUCGAAAAGAACAUAGUGAAGUUGAAUUGGAAACUAAAAAAAGGAAGAGACCCGGACUCCAAAGGAAAGAGCAGCAAUUGAUCGACACCUUUCAAAAUUUGUAGCAUUAAAGAAAGUUCCAAGGAAAGAUGACUGCGUUAAGUGUCGUAGUCAAGCAUCGCCAGACCUUGAAGACCGCACAUGGAGAGAUAUUCCACAAUGAAAUUAUUAAAAGAUAUGUAAUUGGGAAAAAAGCUUGAAGAUGAAAGAUAGAGAGAGGGAGAGACAUAGGGGGGAGAUAGAUGAAGGGAGAGAGGGAAUGGGAUGAGAGAGAGGGGAGAAAAGGAAUAGAGUUUGAAAGCACAGUUAUUUGGUAGGGUAUAUGUGGGUUCAUGUGUCAGGUUGUGGCGCAGCAAGUUUUUUUAGUGUGCGUUUUGAAGGUUGAAGUUUUUCAGGUGUUCUUGUAAGUUUUGAAUAAGAGUACUUUUGUUUGUCAAAAAUAAAUCAUAAAGUCAAGUCAGCUUUUAUUGUCAAAUAUGCUCUCUGUGUAAUGUACAGCACAGAUUAAAAUACUUUCCUCUCAGCCAC